GGCCUUUGACUUUGCUCAUGUCAGGACGAGGUUCUCCUUCUGUUCCUGACAUGGCCGUGGGGGCACAUUAGGGCGUUGUAAGGCCUCUCCCCCAAUCCGAUCUCAAGAUAAUCGGACUUUCAUUUUAGUUAUGUUAGGAUGAGGUUCUCCUCCUGUUCUUAACAUAACCUUGUUUUAAUUGUUUGAAGGGGUUAUCCCCAGUCGUAACAAAUCCAUUUCAAAUGGGAGGAGCAUGCAAAGUCGAAAAGAAUUUAGAUUCGGGGCAGAGUCGUAAGCGAUAUAUUUACAGGUUUCUCGAGUUCCAUGGUCGUGGAAGGUCUGCUCCUCCUUGAGGCC
rnacentral:lncRNA from 1 species